rnacentral:siRNA from 1 species
AUCGACAUGCGGUAUACUGCGGA